rfam:Gossypium raimondii Chr07_contig_1441, whole genome shotgun sequence.
UGUUAAAAACUUCACCCAUAUAUACUAUUAAAAAUUGAUGCGGUUGACGGAAUGACCAUAUAACGACAAGUGGUAUACCGCAUGCACCUCAUAUUGACAUAGAGGAACCAAUUUUUAACAACAGAAAUAUAUGAAAAUUUUAACA